ACAUUUGACUUUAAGCUUAAGCCAUGCUUGCAGGGUGCACCCUUUUCUGUUUACUGUUAAAGGCUCAUUUCACAUGACGCCAUAGUUCAGAUCCCUCACUCCUGGAUAUUCGUAGGAAUUUCACGCAAAACACGCCGUCUGCGACGAUGUUGUCAGCAUUUCCGCUUCCGGGGUCUAGCGUCUGACUAUGCUUCGUAGAUUCUAUGAUCAUCACAACAACGCCGUCACUUCUUUGAUGCGUCUUACCUAUCAGCAUUUAUGCUUUGGUAGGGUCGAAGUUUAGCUUGAACGGGAAUCGGAGGAUGAGGGUUUGACGCCGGAGAGGAAGCCUUGGACACCGCUUUCACUUCUAAGGAAGGCAGCAGGCGCGUAAAUUACUCCAUUCUAUUCUGGUGAGGUAGUGAAAAGAAAUUUUGAAGGAAAGGUAUCUUUCACCUCCAGAUUUAUCAUUGCUGAAAUAGCACGAAUAGCACAGACUGAAGGGCAAGCCUGGUGCCAGCAGCUGCGGUAACACCAGCUUCACAAAUGUAUAUCAACUUUGUUGCAAUUAAAUCGCUCGUUAUGUAUGUUGUUGGAUAAGUGGCUGCACGUCGAUGGGUGCACCCGCUGACUUCAUCAGCUUUUUGAUUACGUGAAUGUGGCAGAGAUGCAUACACAUGUGUGUCCUCAUGUCUUGGUGUCCUCUCGAGGUUGAUUUCGUGUUUGACUUUCAAAUCUUGCAAUCUCUUCAGCAUGGAAUGGUAUCUAAAUCAUCGGCGCCAUGCCGUCGUUUUAGAAGGAUAGCGGACGGGGGAGUUUGAAUUUCAUUGAUAGAGGUGAUAUUCUAUGAUCGGUGAAGGGCAACAUAUUGCGAAAGCAAAAUCCAAGAAUGUUUUUCUCAAUAAGGAACGAAAGUCAGGGAUUCGAAGACGAUUAGACACUGUCCUAGUCCUGGCCGUAAACUAUGCCUGUACAGUGUUCUCGAAGAUAUGAGUGUCAUUCAUGAGCUUGGAUCAAGAAAUUUGAAAUGUUUAGCUUUGGGGGGAGUACGGAAGCAAGUUAGAAACUUUAAGGAAUUGACGGAAGGGCACCACCAGAAGUGGAGCGUACGGCUUAAUUUGACUCAACGCCGAGAACCUCACCAGUUCCAGACGAUGGAAGGAUUGACGGCUACACUUCAUGAUUCUUUGGAUAGUGGUGCAUGGCCGUUCUUGGUUGGUGGAGCGAUUUGUCUGGUUUAUUCCGUUAACGAACGAGACCUUGACUUUAAAUGGGCUGCACCUAACGAGGCGAAGUCGUGUGAGCAGGACAAAACCUUACAUACGUCAGGAAGGCGAAGGCUAAAGCAGGUCUGUGAUGCCCUUUGAUGUCUUGGGCAGCACGUGCGCUACACUGAAAAUUUCAUCAUGUAACCUUGAUGUUGUAAUGCAGAAAGUACUACGGUUUUGUAUGACAGGACUUCGUUCUUGAAAUUUUGGACGAUAAACGAGGAAUUCCAAGUAGACCAGAGUCAUCACCUCGUGUCGGACUAGUCCCUGCCUUUUGUACACACCGCCCGUCGCUCCUACCAAUACAGUGAUUUGGCUAACUGUUCAGAUCUGAACCAAAAUCUUUGCUGGUCAAGGAACGAUUGGUAAUCCAUGAUACUCAGAGGAAGGAGAAGUCGUAACAAGGUUUUUGUAGGUGAACCUGCAGAAG
rnacentral:rRNA from 1 species